ACAUCAAAAUAAAGAAAUAAUCAUCAAUCUUGAUGUUGCAGAGAGAUCUGAUCAAGAAGGGGUGACUGAACCACAAUUAGAGGCAAGAUGAUGGAAGCCGAGGAGCAAUCAAGUGGAAGCAGGUUUCUCAAAGGAGUAGAAAUCCACCUCAAGCAAAUGAGAAUUCGCAGAUCACCAUCUUACUGGGCUAAUUACUCAUUGAUUUCCUAGUUGUAUAAUUUAAGAAAGAAGCCAUGUUUGAUUGCAAUCUUCAAAGCUUGAUUUUCUGAAGGCAUUUGUUCUCCAUAACUAAUCUGUUUGGAAACCUUCCCCUCCAAUGGUGAUUUCCCCAUCUGUCACAUUUUACCUGGAGAAUUUGUCGAAGAAGAUUUCCAAGAAGUGUUUCCUUCUUUGAUUCUUUGCGUUGUAAUCAGCUCCUGAGAAAUGUUAGAAACAAAUGGUAUCAACA